GUCCACGCAGUAAACGAUGAAUACUAACUGUUUGCGAUACAAUGUAAGCGGCACAGCGAAAGCGUUAAGUAUUCCACCUGGGGAGUACGCCGGCAACGUUGAAACUCAAAGGAAUUGACGGGGCCCGCACAAGCGGAGGAACAUGUGGUUUAAUUCGAUGAUACGCGAGGAACCUUACCCGGGCUCAAACGCAGGGGGAAUAUAUAUGAAAGUAUAUAGCUAGCAAUAGUCACCUGCGAGGUGCUGCAUGGUUGUCGU
rnacentral:rRNA from 1 species